CACAGCCUACGGGACGCAGCAGUAGGGAAUUUUCGUCAAUGGGCGCAAGCCUGAACGAGCAAUGCCGCGUGAACGAGGAAGGUCUUCGGAUCGUAAAGUUCUGUUGAAGGGGAAAAAGAGCGGAGAGAGGAAAUGAACUCCGAUUGAUAUUACCCUUCGAGGAAGUCACGGCUAACUACGUGCCAGCAGCCGCGGUAAUACGUAGGUGGCGAGCGUUAUCCGGAAUGAUUGGGCGUAAAGGGGGCGUAGGCGGCCUGCUAAGUCUGGAGUGAAAGGUACCGGCUCAACCGGUACAGGCUCUGGAA
rnacentral:rRNA from 1 species